rnacentral:rRNA from 1 species
UACGUAGGGUGCAAGCGUUGUCCGGAAUUAUUGGGCGUAAAGAGCUCGUAGGCGGUCUGUCGCGUCUGCUGUGAAAAUCCAGGGCUUAACCCUGGACCUGCAGUGGGUACGGGCAGACUAGAGUGCGGUAGGGGAGAUCGGAAUUCCUGGUGUAGCGGUGAAAUGCGCAGAUAUCAGGAGGAACACCGGUGGCGAAGGCGGAUCUCUGGGCCGUAACUGACGCUGAGGAGCGAAAGCAUGGGGAGCGAACAGG